rnacentral:rRNA from 1 species
AGCAGCCGCGGUAAUUCCAGCUCCAAUAGCGUAUAUUAAAGUUGUUGCAGUUAAAAAGCUCGUAGUUGAAUUUCGGGGUUAGUAGGUUGGUCAUGCCUCUGGUAUGUACUGGUCUCACUGAUUCCUCCUUCCUGAUGAACCUUAAUGCCAUUUAUUUGGUGUUUUGGGGAAUUUGGACUGUUACUUUGAAAAAUUAGAGUGUUUAAAGCAAGCUAACGCUUGAAUACAUUAGCAUGGAAUAAUGAAAUAGGACGUUCGAUCCUAUUUUGUUGGUUUCUAGGAUUGACGUAAUGAUUAAUAGGGAUAGUUGGGGGCAUUAGUAUUCAAUUGUCAGAGGUGAAAUUCUUGGAUUUAUUGAAGACUAACUCUGCGAAAGCAUUUGCCAAGGAUGUUUCCAUUAAUCAAGAACGAAAGUUAGGGGACCGAAGACGAUCAGAUACCGUCGUAGUCUUAACCAUAAACUAUGCCGACUAGGGAUCGGAUGAUGUUAAUUUUAAUGACUCAUUCGGCACCGUUACGG